rnacentral:tRNA from 1 species
GGGUACUUGGUGUAGGUGGUUGUUUGCACGUGGGUCUGAAAAACCCAAGGCUUAAGUUCAAUUCUUAGAGUUCCCA